CGAAAGCCUGACGGAGCAACGCCGCGUGAGGGAUGAAGGCCUCUGGGCUGUAAACCUCUUUUCUCAAGGAAGAAGACCUGACGGUACUUGAGGAAUAAGCCACGGCUAAUUCCGUGCCAGCAGCCGCGGUAAUACGGGAGUGGCAAGCGUUAUCCGGAAUUAUUGGGCGUAAAGCGUCCGCAGGCGGCCUUGUAAGUCUGUCGUUAAAGCGUGGAGCUUAACUCCAUUUAAGCGAUGGAAACUACAGGGCUUGAGUGUGGUAGGGGCAGAGGGAAUUCCCGGUGUAGCGGUGAAAUGCGUAGAUAUCGGGAAGAACACCAGUGGCGAAGGCGCUCUGCUGGGCCAUAACUGACGCUCAUGGACGAAAGCCAGGGGAGCG
rnacentral:rRNA from 1 species